rnacentral:rRNA from 1 species
GGCUCUUUGGUAAUGUAGAUAAAGAGUCGGACCUGCCCAGUGAAAAUUUUUAACGGCCGCGGUACUCUGACCGUGCAAAGGUAGCAUAAUCAUUUGCCUUAUAAUUGAAGGCUUGUAUGAAUGGUUUGACAAGAAUAUAGCUGUCUCUAUACGAUUUUGUAGAAUUUUAUUUUGAAGUGAAGAAGCUUGAAUAAAAUUGAUAGACAAGAAGACCCUAUCGAGCUUGAAAAAAGGUUAUAGAUGUUUUAAAAUAUAUCUAAAAAAUUAUCUGUGAUAAAUUUUGGUUGGGGCGACUUAGGAACAAAUUAAGCUUCCUAAAUUUACUUAAUACAGACAAAAUGAUCCAAAAAAUUUUGAUUAAUGAAAUUAGUUACCGUAGGGAUAACAGCAUUAUCUUCUUUAAGAGUUCUUAUCGAAAAGAGGGUUUGUGACCUCGAUGUUGGACCAGAAUAUCCUAAAGAUGCAGCAGUCUUUAAGGGUUGGUCUGUUCGACCAUUAAAAUUCUACGUGAUCUGAGUUCAGACCGGCGUGAGCCAGGUCAGUUUCUAUCUUUAAUUUAAAUUAUAAAUUUAGUACGAAAGGACCAAUUUAUUAUAAUUUGUUGUGCUGGAAGAUACAAUUUAAUGAAGGUUAUUAUCAAAUUAGCAAAAUGAAUGCAAUUGACUUAGGAUCAAUAGAUAUAGGUGAAAUUCCUUUAUUUGAUAAUAAAGAUGGCAGAUGAA